AAAGGCAGCACUGCUCUGCAAUUUGGUGCUGAGAGGAUUGCAGAAUGUGGGGGUGUCCCAAACUAAAGCAGCUUGGGAAGGGCUGUAGCCUGUGAGAGGGACUCAAGUUGGAGAAAAGUUGUGGAGGACUGUCUG